UACGGAGGGUGCAAGCGUUACUCGGAAUCACUGGGCGUAAAGGACGCGUAGGCGGGUUGGUAAGUCUGAUGUGAAAUCCUAUGGCUCAACCAUAGAACUGCAUUGGAAACUACCGACCUAGAGUAUGGGAGGGGGAGAUGGAAUUAGUGGUGUAGGGGUAAAAUCCGUAGAUAUCACUAGGAAUACCGAAAGCGAAGGCGAUCUCCUGGAACAUUACUGACGCUAAGGCGUGAAAGCGUGGGGAGCAAACAGGAUUAGAUACCCUGGUAGUCCACGCCCUAAACGAUGUUCACUAGUCGUCGGGAUGCUAGUCAUCCCGGUGAUGCACUUAACAGAUUAAGUGAACCGCCUGGGGAGUACGGUCGCAAGAUUAAAACUCAAAGGAAUAGACGGGGACCCGCACAAGUGGUGGAGCAUGUGGUUUAAUUCGAAGAUACGCGAAGAACCUUACCUAGCCUUGACAUUGAUAGAACGGACCAGAGAUGGACCGGUGCCCUUCGGGGAGCUUGAAAACAGGUGCUGCACGGCUGUCGUCAGCUCGUGUCGUGAGAUGUUGGGUUAAGUCCCGCAACGAGCGCAACCCUCGUCUUUAGUUGCCAGCAGGUUAAGCUGGGCACUCUAAAGAGACUGCCUUCGUAAGGAGGAGGAAGGUGAGGACGACGUCAAGUCAUCAUGGCCCUUAUGGCUAGGGCUACACACGUGCUACAAUGGGGCGUACAGAGAGUUGCGAUACCGCGAGGUGGAGCCAAUCUCACAAAGCGUCUCUC
rnacentral:rRNA from 1 species